AGUGGAGGUGAGGGUGUUUGGUUGGAGCUCCCUACGUACCUGAGGCCUUUCAAAGAAUUUGCAGGUGACUGAAGACGGUCAAGUUAUUGGUCCCACUGCAGACAGAAGCACACAACUCUGCUGUCUAUGAAACAUCGGCAUGGUACUCUUGUAAUGGAGGAAGGAUUGACUGAUAUUAGAACAUCUAAGAUGACAGGUCCAGAGAAGGAUUUGCCAAAGGAAUCUGGUGGUAACCAGUCAGGUUACAACCUGUUAAGAAACAGUGCCAGAGGUAGCAGUGAUCAUUAUAUCCAGCUAUGGACAUGAACAGGAAAAUGCUGAAGACGUGUCUGGAUGUUACAUCCAAGAAUUUUUCCUAUGUGAUGGUGGGAGGAAAAGAGGGAAGAGGAAUUCUGUAGCGGUACUGCAUCCACGUGAAGAAAAUAAAGGAUCGGCAAUGAUAUUAUUGGUGACGUUGAAUUAUUUAUGUGGCUGAGCCUGGGGGUUAGACCAGAGGUGACAUGUCCAGGACUCUGUAAGGUGUGACACAAAGAGGUGC
rnacentral:lncRNA from 1 species